rnacentral:rRNA from 1 species
UACGAACUGUGCGAACGUUAUUCGGAAUCACUGGGCUUACAGGGUGCGUAGGCGGCUUUGCAAGUCAGGUGUGAAAGCCCCCGGCUCAACUGGGGAGGGUCAUUCGAUACUGAUCGACUCGAAGGCAGGAGAGGGAAGUGGAAUUCCCGGUGUAGUGGUGAAAUGCGUAGAUAUCGGGAGGAACACCAGUGGCGAAGGCGACUUCCUGGCCUGUUCUUGACGCUGAGGCGCGAAAGCUAGGGGAGCAAACGGG